rnacentral:lncRNA from 1 species
CAAUAUUGACUAUCGUAGGAUGGAAAGUUUCAUAAAAGUUUCUAUCUUUCUUGCACGUUCAUCUGGACUAUCAACAUCGCGGAAAAAGUUUAAGAGGCAGGUGUGUUUACAAUCGUGCGAAUCGGUCGCUUCGAAUUUUGAUGAAGGAGAAGGUUUAAAUUAUGUUUUCGACGAAUAAAAGUAUCGAGCAAAUUCUGAUCUCGUUUUAUAAUUGACGAAAAUCGUAUGGAUGCGCCGAAUGAUGCACGAUAAAGAUUUCAUCGAGAAUCGUUCCGUGAUCAAUGGAAAAAAGGAGGGACGCGUAUGUAACCGAAAGAACAAUUAAUGCCACACGGAAGGUAAAUGGACGGUGAAGGGUAUAGUGGACACGAGCGGCCGUUACGAUCAGCUAUCCGAAAUAAUGCAUAGAACGUAGAGUGCACGUAACGGAAUAACAAUUUCCUACUGCAUUAAUUAGAGGUCGACGAGGCGUGAAAUCGAGGUUUACGAAGCGUCAACUAGUUUUACACAUCGCGACGGAAUAAUAACGUCGCGACACGACUAGAAUCCCGAAUACAUUAGCUAUGGUAGCGCGACCGCGACCUCUGCUGGAUCGCUGAAAACCAAAGGGAUCGAGGGGCGGGGGACGCCACCUCCCGCCGCGAUAGCGGUCUGUAAUGAUUAACGACGAGCGUUAAUGCCCGAAAUUCGAUCGCCACUCGACAAUUAUUGCGAACAUAGACGACAAAACGGAUGGACGACGCGGGAUAUUCGUGACAAACGUGAUGGUGGAAAAGAUUCGCGGGAGGAAGGAAGAAAGAUUCGAUCGUCGGAAUAGAACGUAUCGGGUCUGCGAUCCAUCGAAACUCGCGAACGGUAAGCGUUACUUUGCCAACCCUGUAAUUUUAAUUCGGCACAAAGUCCAACGUCCGUUCGCGAAAUUGCGGUGUUUAAUUGCGAUCAACCGUGUAAUGACCGGCAGCGGUCAAUUAACACUUCCAAGACCGGCGAGUGUGAGUGUACGUGAGCGAGGAGCAAGAACGUAUGACAUAUACGCGGCGAACACGUAACACACAAAGUAGACGCCUGGAAUUGGCGUUUUUGUUUCCCGAUAUCAAUUUCGGAGCGACGAUGAGGGGCUUUUAAUUGGGACUGGCGAUGCUGGGUGGUAGUGGCGACGUUGCUGAUGGCGACCAAAUCGUCUAUCGACAGUAAUGGAACGCGAUAAAUACAAGUAAAUCUCGACGCGAAGAGAUUUACAAUACUUUUUUCCCUUUUUUCAGACUAUCCGAAAAUUAAUCGUAAUAUCGAUUUCAUCGCGCGAGUUCAACGAUCUAUAAUGUCGUGUUAUUUAAAGAAAAUAUUAAUAAAAAUAUAUCUCGUCGUUGGAAACAUUUGAAACGUAAAUUUUUUUAAUUUAUGAUAAUCCCUUUUUAUCCCAACGUAUAAUUUGUUCGAAUUAAUUUUUCAAUUUUUUUCAUUCAAAUAAAGUUUUCGUUUCAAAUUUAUAUAACAGAUUCGAAAAUAAGGUUAUCGAUAUUCUUCUCGAUAAUUGCUAUACGAGAUGACAAGAAUUAAUUUUUCAAUCGCACAUUUUUCCAUUUUUUGGCAUUCUAUGAAUUUCAUAUUUUAUGGUUAUAUUAUCGCGAUACAUAAUCGUCGUGCUAGAGAACAACUUUUCAAUGGACAAUUUGUAUUUUCAAUUGAAAUCAUAUCGAUAAAGAUUGUUCGAUUACAUCUUAUUUCAUGUCAUUGUUACGUUAUUAAAGAUAUUAAUUUUACAAAUAUAACGAAACGUAAUACGAAAGCGGGAAAAUUCACUGAGAAACGUUUGAAAGAACGAAGUGACUCGAAAUAUGUACCUUUGUUAUUCUCAGCCAAGAUUGGUUUCCGUUGCGAUACAAUAGCUUUGCCCGCAGUAGGUCUCUAAUCGAUGAUUCUGGAAGUGGUUAUAUUUCACUGCACACAUUCUAUUACGAAGUUACAAUUUGAUCGAUCGUAGGAAGCGAAUACCGCCGUCUGACCCGCACGAGAAGCGUGAACUCCACCUCGAUUUGAAUUUCACGUAGAAAAAUGACACCGACGUUUGUCCAUCUAGCGUUCGAAUACCGAACUAAAAGUUCAACAUUCGAGCGGUAACUGCCUUCCAAGCGACUUUAUCUUUGAAUCGUCAUUUCCGCUGCUUAUCGCUUAGGUAAACUAUUCAUGUUUUAAAUAUAGAAUGUAGCAUAAGGAAAGCAUUAUCGCUGUUUCUAUUACGAGUAUUGUAUGAUAAUUAAAGAAAUCAAAUUAUAAACUAUCGAAGAAAAUCUAUCAACUAUCGUGAUUCGUGUUUUACGAUUUCGACGAUAAACGAUUGAGCGUCCGAGAUAAAUUAGUUAAAAUUAAACUCUGACAGAAACUAACAAAGAAGAAGCGUAGAUAGAGGAAGGGUGACGAGAAUGAUUGUAGGUAUGGGGAUGAAGCGUAGAAUGGGGAAUGGGCAAACAGAGCGCAAUUAACGUGCGACCAUUAAAUAUGUACGCGAGUUACUGCGUCACGAUACGUGUGUGCAGGCCAGCGCAAAUGCAUUGGCUAUCGAACGCUCGCACGGCACUACCGAUCUCUUCUUGCAUCCUGUUGGCACAGCCGCUUGAUUAGCUCCGCCAUAUUUACAUAUCAUUAGCCGAGUGUUUGUCCGAGUUGGGAGUUCCCCUUCUGCUUCACCGUUGUCCGUCAAUAUACGAAAUAAAAGUUAUUACACCGUACAAAAUAUUAUGUUGAUAAAAAAUCACUCUUAUAAAAGCUAUUUUUCGCAUACUAAUUUUCGAUACAUUCUAUCUUUUAAAAAUUCAGAUUGAAAAAUUUUGAAUUAAAUCGUCGCGUAUAAAUAAACUUUUACAUUCUAGAAUUUAUAUUUCAGUUUCACUUUAUUCAUAAAAAUACGAAUUUCGAUUUUAAUCUCGUUGCCUACAUUGCAUAACAAUUUCUAUUUUUGUUGUUUUACACUACUUAAAUGUAUUGGACAAGCUGGCGGUAAUUGCCACAAGAGGAAAACAAAAACGGAAUAAAUAGAUGAACGAACUCGAUUGCUUAACGUCCAAUUUUCAAUUGGACAAGUUAUCUCGACGAUAAUGUAAUUAAUUCAUCGUUAUAUAAAUCGUUAUGUUCGACAAUGUAAUUUCUGAAAGACAUCUGCCUAAAGUGAAGCAUAAAG